rnacentral:lncRNA from 1 species
AGUGAUCUUCCUGCCUUGGCCUCCCAUAGUGCUGGGAUUACAGACGUGAAAAUACAUAUCAAAAACACUGUGCAGGCACCAGAGUCCUGAGAUUGUCAGAGAAUUUCUCACAGCAAUGAAAAGCCACAAGUUGACCAAAGUUGGGGCUUUCCCAUGUGCCAAGACUGGUCUCGAAAUACUGGACUCAAGCAAUCCCCCCACCUUGACCUCCCAAAGUGCUGGGAUUACAGGCCGAGCUAUGACACCCAGCCUUCAGUUAUACAUUUCAAAGAACAUAAAAUAAUUUCCAUUAUAUUCAUUUAUUCUUUCACUCAUCUAAAUACUUAUUGAGCAUGUACUGUGUGCACUGACGCUACGUGCCGGGGAUCCAGAAGUGAACGAGCCAGACGAGGUGCUGCCCUUGUGGACCUUAAAUUCUAUUUAGGGAAGAGAAACAAUAAACAUGUAAACACAUUCCAGAUUACCUGCAGCAAUGGACACACCUUGUAACAGAUACACAGGAAAAUUAGAAGGGGAAACUCUAGAUCAGUGCUUCUGAAAUUUUUAAAGCACAAUCACUUUGGGGUCUGGUUAAAAUGCAGCUUUUCCUUCAGUGGGUCUGUGGUGGGGCCUAAGACUCUGCAUUUCCAGAGAAAACACAACACAAAAUGAAAUGCUUGCAGGCAACACUGACGCUUCUGGUCUGAAGCCCACACUUGGAGAUCCAUAGCUGUGGGCAGAGAAGGGGUGCAGCAAGCUCCUCUAGCUUGAUGAUCGGGAAGGACCUUUUCCAGGAAUGAAGUUUUGAAUGAGAUCCUGAGUGAUGGUAAGCAAUCGGUCUCAUGAGCAAUGGCAAGUCAAAGGCCUUGAGGUAGGAAUGAGCUGUGGGUGUGCCAAGGAAGGCCACUGAGGCUGGGGCAUGGUGAUUGAGGAGAGUGACAGGAGAACUGGGAGCGAGUCCAAUCAUUUACAUUAUUUAGGGCCUUGUGUGUAGGCCAUGCCGAAGAGUUUGAAUUUUAUUCUAAUUGCUAUGAAAGACGUUUAGUAGCUUUCAAACUGGAGAGUGAGAUAAGCUUAUUUAUGAUCACUCUUCGCUGCUGCAUAAAGAACAAACUGCUGGAGGCCAGAGUACAGAUGGGGAAACUAUAUGUAAUCAAACCUCUUAGCCCUACUCAUCCCAGGCAGGAAUUCCAAUUUAAAUCACUGCCUUUGGCAACAGAAAUAAAUGGCAUACUGCCAAAAUUAUCAUGGCUAAACAGAAUUUUUAUAUAUUCAAAGCACUGGUCUAUGCCUGAUUAUUCAUGUAAGAACACAUGGGUAUUUUCCUCGAAAACAAUGUGGCAAUCCACAAAUGAAUAUAUUAUCAAAGUUAUACAUGCAUAAGGUUUCAAAAUAAAAUAAAAUCAAAGCCUUCUAAUACAGAGAUGUUCCCUCCUCCAGCCCUCCCCAAGUCAGUUCUCAUCCCAGAGGCAUCCACUUUGAUGUCUGUUA